rnacentral:rRNA from 1 species
CCCGACUGCUAUUUGGGUGAGGAUAAGCCAUGCGAGUUGAAUGGGAAACCUAAAAAUCCCAUGGCAAACUGCUCAGUAACACAUGAUCAACUUACCCUAUAGAGGAAAAUAACCUCGGGAAACUGAGGAUAAUGUUCCAUAGUUGAAUCGGCUUGGAAAAGUUUUUCAAUAAAAGGGAUAAGGAAAAUGUCCUCAUCUGCUAUAGGAUAGGAUCGUGCUCGAUUAUGGUUGUUGGUGAGGUAAAGGCUCACCAAGCCGAUAAUCGAUAGGGGCCGUGAGAGCGGGAGCCCCGAGAUGGGUACUGAGACAACGACCCAGGCCUUACGAGGCGCAGCAGGCGCGAAACCUCCGCAAUACACGAAAGUGUGACGGGGUUACCCAAAGUGUUCAUUAGAACUGUGGUAGGUGAGUAAUGUUCCCUACUAGAAAGGAGAGGGCAAGGCUGGAGCCAGCCGCCGCGGUAAAACCAGCUCUUCAAGUGGUCGGGAUAAUAUUGGGCUUAAAGUGUCCGUAGCCGGUUUAGUAAGUUCCUGGUAAAAUCGGGUAGCUUAACUAUCUAUAUGCUAGGAAUACUGCUAUACUAGAGGGCGGGAGAGGUCUGAGGUACUACAGGGGUAGGGGUGAAACCUUAUAAUCCUUGUUGGACCACCAGUGGCGAAGGCGUCAGACUGGAACGCGCCUGACGGUGAGGGACGAAAGCCAGGGGAGCGAACCGGAUUAGAUACCCGGGUAGUCCUGGCCGUAAACGAUGCAUACUAGGUGAUGGCACGGCCAUGAGCCGUGUCAGUGCCGUAGGGAAACCGUUAAGUGUGCCGCCUGGGAAGUACGGUCGCAAGGCUAAAACUUAAAGGAAUUGGCGGGGGAGCACCACAAGGGGUGAAGCCUGCGGUUCA